GUGGACUCUUGGGGAAGAUCAGCCUGUUAUCCCUAGAGUAACUUUUAUCCGUUGAGCCUGCUAGGUGGUAACUUCCAAAUUCAGGGAAACCCUGGAAUUAAAAAAGGGUAAUCCUGAGCCAAAUCCGUGUUUUGAGAAAACAAGGGGUUCUCGAACUAGAAUACAAAGGAAAGGAUAGGUGCAGAGACCAUAUCUCUAUCCCGUGAAAUUCUCGAGCCGAACUUCAACACCAGCUAAGUCUAGAGGGAAGUUGCUAAAUUAUUUAUCCAAACCUAUUGAUCAUUAACUUAGAUUUUCCCAAGAUUUUGGUUGCUAUUCCGUAG
rnacentral:ncRNA from 1 species